rnacentral:rRNA from 1 species
AAUCUUGCUCAAUGGGCGAAAGCCUGAAGCAGCAACGCCGCGUGCGGGAUGAAGGCCCUCGGGUUGUAAACCGCUUUCAGCAGGGAAGAAAACAGACGGUACCUGCAGAAGAAGGUCCGGCUAACUACGUGCCAGCAGCCGCGGUAACACGUAGGGGCCGAGCGUUGUCCGGAUUCAUUGGGCGUAAAGAGCUCGUAGGCGGUUCAGUUAGUCGGGUGUGAAAUCUCCGGGCUCAACCCGGAGGGGCCACCCGAUACUGCUGUGACUCGAGUCCGGUAGGGGAGUGGGGAAUUCCUGGUGUAGCGGUGAAAUGCGCAGAUAUCAGGAGGAACACCGGUGGCGAAGGCGCCACUCUGGGCCGGUACUGACGCUGAGGAGCGAAAGCGUGGGUAGCAAACAGGAUUAGAUACCCUGGUAGUCCACGCUGUAAACGGUGGGCACUAGGUGUGGGUCCUUACCAACGGGAUCCGUGCCGUAGCUAACGCAUUAAGUGCCCCGCCUGGGGAGUACGGCCGCAAGGCUA